UACGUAGGUGGCAAGCGUUGUCCGGAUUUACUGGGCGUAAAGAGCGCGCAGGCGGUCGUUCAAGUCGCGUGUGAAAGCCCCCGGCUCAACUGGGGAGGGUCACGCGAUACUGAUCGACUGGAAGGCAGGAGAGGGUAGUGGAAUUCCCGGUGUAGUGGUGAAAUGCGUAGAUAUCAGGAGGAACACCAAUGGCGAAGGCAGCUCGCUGGGACGGUACUGACGCUGAGGCGCGAAAGCGUGGGGAGCAAACAGG
rnacentral:rRNA from 1 species